GAGCCAGUAGCUCAGCCAGGUAGAGCACCUGACUUUUAAUCAGAUGGUCGAAGGUUCGAAUCCUUCCUGGCUCACCA
rnacentral:tRNA from 1 species